AGAGAGAAAGUGAAUUGUUACGUCAAAUUAGUUUAGUUAUGGAUUUAAACAGAGAGAGAGAGAGAGUGAAAGAAAGAUAGGAAAGUGAUUAAAAGAGAAUAGGAAGAGAAUGGAUGUAUGAAGAGAGAGAGCAAAAGGUAUUUCUCAGCGCUGUAGUGAAAGGUUCAGCUCUUCUAUAACGAUGCAAAGUACCUGUCCCCAAGUGUGAUAUUAAUGCUUAAGGCGUGUAACUUAUUGUACACUGUAAUGCUAAAUAAUUACCGUAAAUAAAUGCAAGUGCCGAGGAAGGGAGAGAGCAGCAGCAGCAUUUGACGUGUAAUUAAGUAAUGUAUUGUUGUGCACGGGGUAAGAAUAAUGAUAAUAAUAAUAAUAGUUAUCAAAUAUACACACACACACUCAAGAUAAAAAAAACAAACGUAAAUAAAAAUAGAAAUAUAACGAAACACUAACUUUAAAAUCGUUUACAUAAAAAAGGUCAUAAAAAAAGAAAUGGUAAACUUGGAUUCCUGGUACGAGUAAUAUUUUUUUUUUGGUUUUAAUAAUGAAGAAUAUAAAAAAAAUUAACUUGUAUGCAUCAUUUUUGUUUUUGUUUUAUGUUCUGUAUGACUGUGUUUUACUCUGUGCUCAGAUAGCGUAGGAACAUACGAUAUAUACAGACAUGCAUCGCUUUGGUUCACUGAAGGAAUGCAACGUUAAACAUUCUACUUUUUACUCCUCUUUUUUUUAUUACCUACUGAAUUCUUAAUAUUAUCAUAACCUCUCUUUUGGCCACUCAUCCAUACAUUGUUUUAUAGGAGCAGUGACUAGCGGGCUAUUAUUCCCUAUUUAUUUUUGCCCGAGAGCUCACGGCCAUACCCAUUUUCAAAACCAUUAUCCCCUUAGCUGAUUUGGCUCACUUCAAUCGCCACUUGCCCUCUUCAAGUGGCUACAAAGGCUCAAAUUUAAGUGAAAAAAGGAGCCCCCCCUCCCGUUUAACAGCUCUGGGAAUGGCCCUGGAGCUGCUUUCUUCACUGUAAAAAAAAAGGAGGAUGAGGAGAACUAACUUUUUCUUCUUUUUGUGUUUUCUUUGAUUUGUGUGUUUAGUGAGUAAGUGUUUGGCGUGAACUGUGUGAACGUGAGUCUAAGGAAGAUUGCUGGAUUCUUGUCUUCAUAUUGUUAUUAGGAGCAAGAGGAAAGAGAAAGACUACCAGGUAUAUGAUUUUUACUAUUGAGUUUUGUGGAUAAGUGUUUGAGGUUGAAAUGUGUGAAAGUUAUGCAAAAGAAGAAGAUUAAUGAAUUUUUUGUUUUAUGUUAUUAAGAGAAAGAGGAGGAAAAUAUAUUGUUUUACUUUUGUGUUAUCUCUAAUUUGUGCAUUUUGUGGAUAAGUGUUUGAGGAUGAAAUGUGUGAAAGUUAUGCAAAAGAAGAUCAUGGAAUUCUUAGCCUUAUAUUAUUAGGAAGAGGAAAAGGAGGAGGACGAUAUCAUUUAUUUCUUUUGUGUUUAGUGAAAAAGUAUUUGCAGUGAAAUGUGUGAAGGCAAAUCAAUAGGAAAAGUUGAAUAAGAGUAAUAGGAAAAGUCAGUUGUUUAUUGAUGAAAGAGAAAGGGAGUGUAAAAAAAAAAGAAAGGAUUUACCCAUUUCUGAUGUGAAAUAUUGUGUUUGUAGUGACACCUGGGAAUUUCUUUUUGUUAUCUUAUGACACACACACACACACACACAGUAUUAUCUAUAAAUUCUGAAAUGUUAUCUAAAGGUUAUCUGUCGAGAAAACACACACACACACACACACACACACAAACAGAGUAUUGUCUAUAAAUUCUGAAAUGUUAUCUACAGGUUAUCUGUCGAGGAAAACACACACACACACACACACACACACACACACACACACACACACACACAGUAUUGUCUAUAAAUUCUGAAAUGUUAUCUAAAGGUUAUCUGUCGAGAACGAACACACACACACACACACACACACACACACACACACACACACACACACACACAGUAUUGUCUAUAAAUUCUGAAAUGUUAUCUAAAGGUUAUAUGUUGAGGAAACACACACACACACACACACACACACACACACACACACAGUAUUGUCUAUAAAUUCUGAAAUGUUAUCUAAAGGUUAUCUGUCGAGGAAACACACACACACACACACACACACACACACACACAGCAUUGUCUAUAAAUUCCGAAAUAUUAUGUAAACUUGUAAAGGUUAUCUGUCGAGAACACACACACACACACACACACACACACACACACACACACUCCGGUAGCUCAAUCGGUUAGAGCGCCGCGCUGCAAGGCUUCACGGCCAAACAAGCGGCGGUUCGAGCCCCGCUCAGGGCGGAUUCUUUCCGUUGACUAGGAGUGGUUACUGUCCCCCCUUGAGCAAGGGGGAUGGGGUGUGUGGUGUGUGAGGUCCUGGCAGUACCCAGAGAUCGACAAUAAUGAGCACUUGCUCACGUCGUGAGGGUACCUGCUGGCGAAAGCGAGUCCAACUCGUGAUCAGGCCGUGGUGAAUUACACACACACACACACAGCAUUGUUUAUAAACUCCGAAAUGUUAUCUAAUGAUUAUCUGUCGAGAACACACACACACACACACACACACACACCAUUUUAUCUAAACAAAAAUCCCCUUCCAACACUGGGAAUUAAUUAUCUGUGUACCGUGGAACUGAAGCUGUAUGGAAGCCUUAUAAAAAAAUAGUGUUUUCGAAUAGAGAGGAACUAAAAAUAUAUGAUGAACUGAAGGUAACUUUUUCUAGAUGUCAUUUAGAGCAAGCAUCCAACUUCUAUCAGUGAAUUUGUAUACAAUAAACUGGUGAUGUAUUUCCUGUGUUGUGAUCACUUAUGCAAUGUAUGUUUAUCACGCAAGGAACUGUGUAUUUAUGUAUAGGUGAUAAGCUAAAUAAUGCUACCUAUUCAGCCGUUCUAUGCUCUGUGUCAAGUGUAUUGAUGUGUGUGUGUGUGUGUGUGUGUGUUUGAGAUAAGCUGAGGGAAAGGAAGGCGAGAAAGAAAGAGAGGAUAAAAAAGAAGGAAAGGGAAAGGAAGAGAAAAGAGAGGAAAGGAAUGAAAGGGAAAAUAAAGAACAGGAAGAAAAUGAAUGGUAAAGGAGAGGAAGAUGAAGAAAAGCAAAAACAAGGAAGAGAAAGGGAAGGGAAGAGUAUGUGUGUGUGUGUGUGUGUGUGUGUGUGUGUGUGUGUGUGUGUGUGUGUGUGUAUUAUAAUCCUUUAACUUCCUCCUCACCCUCCCCUCCAACAUAUUAUUUUUCUCAUUCUCUUCUCUGCUUAAGAAAAAAAUCACAUGCAUUAUUAUUAUUAUUAUGUUUAACUUAUUUUCCUUCACGGCAUCGAAACUCUUCAAACCAAAACGUUGCAUUAAUUCAGGUUGACAUUUCAGCCUGCAGAAUUCUGGUCAAAAUAAAAGUUAUUUCAAACGAU